rnacentral:rRNA from 1 species
UACGUAGGGUGCAAGCGUUAAUCGGAAUUACUGGGCGUAAAGCGUGCGCAGGCGGCUUCGCAAGUCAGACGUGAAAUCCCCGGGCUUAACUUGGGAAUGGCGUUUGAAACUACGGAGCUGGAGUGUGGCAGAGGGAGGUAGAAUUCCACGUGUAGCGGUGAAAUGCGUAGAUAUGUGGAGGAAUACCGAUGGCGAAGGCAGCCUCCUGGGCCAACACUGACGCUCAUGCACGAAAGCGUGGGGAGCAAACAGG